CCCUUGGCCUUGACAUACUAAGAACUUUCCAGAGAUGGAUUGGUGCCUUCGGGAACUUAGAUACAGGUGCUGCAUGGCUGUCGUCAGCUCGUGUCGUGAGAUGUUGGGUUAAGUCCGCAACGAGCGCAACCCUUUUCCUUAUUUGCCGGCGGGUCAUGCCGGGAACUUUAAGGAUACUGCCAGUGACAAACUGGAGGAAGGCGGGGACGACGUCAAGUCAUCAUGGCCCUUACGGCCAGGGCUACACACGUGCUACAAUGGUCGGUACAAAGGGUUGCUACCUCGCGAGAGGAUGCUAAUCUCAAAAAGCCGAUCGUAGUCCGGAUCGCAGUCUGCAACUCGACUGCGUGAAGUCGGAAUCGCUAGUAAUCGCGGAUCAGAAUGCCGCGGUGAAUACGUUCCCGGGCCUUGUACACACCGCCCGUCACACCAUGGGAGUUUGUUGCACCAGAAGUAGGUAGUCUAACCGCAAGGAGGACGCUUACCACGGUGUGGCCGAUGACUGGGGUGAAGUCGUAACAAGGUAAGCGUAGAUGA
rnacentral:rRNA from 1 species